CAGUUCGGAUCGGAGUCUGCAACCCGACUCCGUGAAGCUGGAUUCGCUAGUAAUCGCGCAUCAGCCAUGGCGCGGUGAAUACGUUCCCGGGCCUUGUACACACCGCCCGUCAAGCCAUGGGAGCCGGGAGUGCCUGAAGUCCGUGACCGCGAGGAGCGGCCUAGGGUAAGACCGGUGACUGGGGCUAAGUCGUAACAAGGUAAC
rnacentral:rRNA from 1 species